ACCCGCUGAACUUAAGCAUAUCAAUAAGCGGAGGAAAAGAAACCAACAGGGAUUGCCUCAGUAACGGCGAGUGAAGCGGCAAGAGCUCAAAUUUAAAAGCCGACGUAGCUUUAAGAGACGUCCGCAUUGUAAUUUGAAGAGGCAUUCUCGGGUCGGGGCUCAGGCCUAAGUUCCUUGGAAGAGGGCGUCGUGGAGGGUGAGAACCCCGUUCGCGGCCUGCCGUCGACCUUUCCCCGAUCCACACGAGGUGCCAUCGAAGAGUCGAGUUGUUUGGGAAUGCAGCUCAAAGCGGGUGGUAAAUUCCAUCUAAAGCUAAAUAUUGACGGGAGACCGAUAGCGAACAAGUAGAGUGAUCGAAAGAUGAAAAGCACUUUGGAAAGAGAGUUAAACAGCACGUGAAAUUGUUGAAAGGGAAGCGCUUGAGACCAGUCACGGACCGAGGCGAUCAGUGGGACGUCCCUCUCGGGGGAGGAACCGCGCACUCGCUUUUCGGGUUUUCCGGGUCAACAUCGGUUGGGACGGUGUCAGAAAGGUCGCGGGAACGUGGCUCCCUUCACGGGGAGUGUUAUAGCCCGUGGCGUCAAAGUCGCCAGUUUCGACCGAGGACCGCGCUCGUCUUUUUCGAGCAAGGAUGUUGACGUAAUGGUCCC
rnacentral:rRNA from 1 species